CAGGACGAACGCUGGCGGCGUGCCUAAUACAUGCAAGUCGAACGGUCUUUCUAUGGAAGCUUGCUUCCACUGAAAAGAUAGUGGCGAACGGGUGAGUAACACGUGGGUAACCUGCCCAUAAGAGGGGGAUAACAUCCGGAAACGGGUGCUAAUACCGCAUAGUUUUCUUGAUCGCAUGAUCGGGAAAGGAAAGACGGCCUUUGUGCUGUCGCUUAUGGAUGGACCCGCGGCGUAUUAGUUAGUUGGUGAGGUAACGGCUCACCAAGACGAUGAUACGUAGCCGACCUGAGAGGGUGAUCGGCCACAUUGGGACUGAGACACGGCCCAAACUCCUACGGGAGGCAGCAGUAGGGAAUCUUCCGCAAUGGACGAAAGUCUGACGGAGCAACGCCGCGUGAGUGAAAGAAGGUUUUCGGAUCGUAAAACUCUGUUGUCAGAGAAGAACAAGUUGGAGAGUAACUGCUCCAGCCUUGACGGUAUCUGACCAGAAAGCCACGGCUAACUACGUGCCAGCCGCCGC
rnacentral:rRNA from 1 species